rnacentral:rRNA from 1 species
GAGUUUGAUCGUGGCUCAGGACGAACGCUGGCGGCAGGCCUAACACAUGCAAGUCGAACGAGAAACCAGAGCUUGCUCUGGUGGACAGUGGCAGACGGGUGAGUAACGCGUGGGAAUAUACCCAGUAGUACGGAAUAGCCUUUGGAAACGGAGAGUAAUACCGUAUACGCCCUUCGGGGAAAGGAUUAUCGCUAUUGGAGUAGCCGCGUUAGAUUAGAUAGUU